rnacentral:rRNA from 1 species
GGGAUUGCUUUGGAAACUGUAUAGCUAUGAGUGCAUGAGAGGUAAGUGGAAUUCCUAGUGUAUGGGUGAAAUGCGUAGAUAUUAGGAGGAACACCAGUGGCUAAUGCGGCUUACUGGACUGUAACUGACUUUGAGGCUCCAAAGCGUGCGGGGCAAACAGGAUUAUAUACCCUGGUAUUCCGCGCCGGAAACGAUGAUUACUAGGUGUCCGGGGCUAUAACCCUUCGGUGCCGUCUCAAACGCAAUAAGUAAUCCACCUGGGGAGUACUGUCGCCAGAGUGAAACUCAAAGGAAUUGACGGGGACCCGCACAAGCGGUGGAGCAUGUGGUUUAAUUCUGCCCCACCUCGAUAACCUUACCUGGUCUUGACAUCCCUCUGACCGGUCUGUAAUGAGACUCUUCCUUCGGGACAGAUGACACAGGUGGUGCAUGGUUGUCGUCUGCUCGUGCCGUGAGAUGUUGCGUUAAGUCCCGCAUUGAGUUUAACCCUUAUGGAUGUUUUCACCGCGGAAAGGCUAAGUCUCUUUUGAUACUGCCCGGGAGUAUUUCGACGAAGGUGGGUACUACUUUCUAUUCAUCGUGCCCUAUAUGAGCUGGUCUACCCGUUUGGAUACCCUGGCUUAUACGGCUCAACGCCAAUGUACGAGCUGGGGAGCUAUCUCCCCAAAUCGGUUCUAUGUUCGGAUUCUGGGCAGUUACCCGC